GCCUUUGUAGCUCAGUGGUAGAGUACGCCUUUCGUACGCAGUUUGCGGUCAUCGAUAGGGUGGGGUCCAUGGUUCAAACCCAUGCUGAGGCA